UCCACAGUAGCUCAGUGGUAGAGCUAUCGGCUGUUAACCGAUCGGUCGCAGGUUCGAAUCCUGCUGUGGAGCCA
rnacentral:tRNA from 1 species